GACGGCGCGACGUCACAAACAUGAUCCUUUUGAUAUAUAGAAACAUGUCCAAAACACUACAUUCAUGUAUUGAAAAAACUUAGUAAUUUAAUGGGGUUACACCCCAUGACUUCGCCCUGGAUCCAUUGGGGCCUCAGACACCCAUUUGUGAUUUAGAGGGAAGGAGGGGGGAUUUCUGAUCGGGAUCGGAGUUAUCUGUGCACGUGCUAAGACUAGAAAUGCCAAAUGGCUGCCUGUAACUGAUUUUGGGCCUAAUGUCUUUGCCAAGUUUGGUCCAUGAAAUUGGCGGUGUGCCGGGGUCCUAUGAUACCACGGUAUUCGUAUUAAGAUCUUUCGAUCUUAUUUCAGUAAUUUGUUGAUGUUUUGUAAAUAUCUUGUAUAUAUGAUUCAUAAUAUGUUGACGGUGCUACCGUUUGAGCGAGCGCAGCUACAUGUUUGUAUAUAUUUUGUAACGUUUACCAGGCCCAGACCAAAGACUACAGUGUUUUUUAAGGUCUUGAUUUCAAGGGCCUGGGCCUGUCCAAAUUGGGGAAAAUAGCGACAUUUACUUGAAAUUGGGAAAAAUGUUUCAUACAGAGAAGUAGGGAGAAAACCAAUCCAGAGUGCAUUAAGGUAUAAUACGCCAGUUUCGAGAUAAGAGUUCUCCUGUGUACGAGGAACAUUUAGUAGAACUUGAGUGUCUAAGUGGGACAGGGUGAACCUACAGUCAAUGUAGUGAUGGGCAAUCGGGGGAAAAAAUUAAUCGAUGAUCGGAUUAAUCGGAUGCACCUUUUCGAUUGAUUAAUCAAAAAAUAAUCGAAUUUUAAUGAUUUCAAAUUUAAGGCAUAGAUAUAUUAAAUUUAUUUUAUUUUGUUACCCUAGAUAUUAAGUUAAUUAGAAUAAAAUCAUUAGAUUGAUGUUAUCUUGCAUAACGUCUCUGUCGGAUAUUUUUCACUCAUAUGGAGGUCCGUCUAAAAUCAUAAUUAGAAAUUUGAAGUAAUAAUCCCAUACUUUCGAUUUUAUUUUCCCGGGAUAGGGGUAGAUAUCUCGACUUUUGUUGUUCUUAUGAGAUCCGGGUUAGAAUAGAGCCUCAUUAUCCCUUACAUGUUGUAAGAGGCAAAAUCUCGAGGCCCCGUGUCACAACAGGUGUGACAUGAUAAAGAUCCCUCCCUGUUCAAAGACUGUAAGCGCCGAGCAUAGGCCUAAAUUUUGCAGGCCUUUACCGGCGAUGGUGACGUCUCCAUACGAGUGAGAGAUUCUCAUGAGGGACGUUAAACAAUAUUCAAUCAUUAUUAUCAUUCAAUCUUAUCGGAUUAUUCAGCUUCGUCAGCCAUUUUUGAUUUUAGAUAAUUCGCGACAGGAAUAUUCGUAUUAUUAAAAAUAUUACCAAUGUUGGCGAUUUUCGAUUUUCAAACUGACAAUCGAUUAUUCACAUCGUUUCAGUUAUAGCGACCGACAAUCGAAAGUCGGCGACAAUCGGUACAUCACUAAUUAAGUGCUGCUCCUCUUUAAAUAUGUAAAUGAAGGAAAUUCAAAAUACUAUUGAAAGAAAUGUUUUAAAGUAAUAUCCUGGAUAUGAAACCUACAACCAACGAAAUUACAUGAUAUAACAAGAAUUCCACAUAUUUAAUUACUCCCUGAAUACAUUACUUAUCACUUACUUAGUUUGUGUAUCAGUUGAAUUCAGGUGAUGAAACAGCGUAUGAAAAAAAUACUGAGUACAUUUACUUAUGCAGUGAUGAAUAUUCGUCCCACUCCCGCAUGUAAACAAGUUGUUUCACGCCUUACUAUGUACGAGAGUUCUUCAAAGGAUAAUAACUCGAACGUAUCUCGAAACCGGCGUAUUGGGACUCCCUCUGACUUUCAAUUUGGCCAAAGUUUACUUCAUUCAAAUAAGCAGAGGUCAGAAAAUUAGGUCUACUUAACAAUUUUGAAGCAAAUAUUGUAAUCUGUGGGUCUGUGGAGAAGAUUUAUUAACAAUUAGGUUACUCUGCUUAUUUUGUUUUCAUUGUUUGGGAAUUUCAAAGCAAAAAUUGUGAAAAAUACCUGCUUUUUAGUAUUGGGAAUGGGGCCUUAUUUCGGCCCCCUACAGACUUUAAAAACAUCCCUGGACUAUUUCUACCUACAAUUAUUGUAGCUACCUAGGUAUUUAAACCUGCUUAAAGUAGCUACUUCUACCUACUUUUAUCUGUUUUUAAAAAUAUGAAUAACAGAGAUGGGGCGAUUACAUUGUAAAUGUAAUUGAUUACGAUUACUUUGAAAAUCUAUGAUUACGAUUACACAUAUUUUGAAAGUAAUUGAUUACAAUUACGAUUACUGUGAACAGUAAUCAUGAUUACAUGCUUUUGAAUACAUAUAUGAGUAUCAGAAGUCCAUGUCAUAAAUAUUUAUAGUGAAAGGUAGAUCUACUCAGAUGAACUGCUUAAUCUUCAAAGGAUUUUUCCAUAGUGAUCUAUGUUUGAAGUAUUAGUAUAAACAAAUCCACAGAAAUGAUGAAAGAUGCUAAUUAACAAUAGGUCACAGUAUAGUGAACUACUAAUUAGGAGUGAGCUCAUACUCAUUAAGUAACAAUAGAUCAAUGAGAUCAAUGAAAUGUACAGUAAAUGAUACAGGGUAUACUAGUUCACAUUAUUAAGUUUAAUUUAAACAGAUUUAGACCUUAGUUGCUAUUGAAUACAUGCAAAUACUGUAAGUAUAAUAUCAUAUAGAUAUGGAUAAAUCUUAUGAUGGCACACAUAACAUACAUAAGCUCUAACUGUUAUCUAUUAAAUAAUUAUUUUAAUAUAAAUAUAAAGUAAUCAUUGUAAUCAUUAUUGUAAUCAUAAAUUACAAUUACUUUGCCAAAGUAAUUGAUUACGAUUACUUUGCUUUAAAAACAAAUGUAAUCAGUUACGAUUACUUAAAAAAAUGUAAUCGAUUGUAAUCAAUUACGAUUACUGAUUACGAUUACCCCAUCUCUGAUGAAUAAAUAAUAAUUGAGGUGCAUCUUUUAAACAGGUCAGUAGUUUUAUGUAUCAUGUGCUUGUGCACGAUAAAUUCGGAGUGUAAAUUUGAAUACUUUAGAGGGUGGAGAAUGUAGAGGAAAUGUAAACCGGUAUACAAUUAACAGAAAAUUUCCAAAAAUAAAUAGAAUUCAACAAUUCUAAUCAGAGCUCCAGAUAAUUUUUGACCACAAAGAGUAUAAAUUUACCCCCUGAUUUUCAAAUCAAUGAAUAUUUUGCUUUUCAGAAGAAGUCAAAAGAGUAUUUUGUAAUUUACUGAUUAUCUUUGCUGUUUUACCACUAAUACAGAAUUGGAUCAUAAUCAUGUGACUGGAUGUCUGACAUAUUAAAUUUCAAUACCUCAAUGAUAGAUUUAAAAAUCCCAAUAACAGUGAAGAGUUUUAAUAAAAAGAACGUACUACAAAGGAUUUCCCCCCGUAAAUAUACAAGUAUCAAAUAAAUGCGUGACUCCGAUUCUCGCAAAUGCUUUUUAAAAAUACUUAUUGAGACAAUGCUGCUUUGAGCGGCCUUUCAGUAAAAACUUUAAGUCAAAGUUUAACAGAGGAAGUAUUGUUUAUCUGGUGAUAUUUUUUGUGCCAUGUUUUUAGCAGCAUUUUGUCCACGAUUGAUAAUACAAGAUUUUGUUUUCUGUGAUUUCGACCGCACACUACCUCUUUAAGAAAAAAGUAUAACAAGUAGGACUAUAUAGUUGUUUUGAGUUGACUCUUUCAAACUUUCAAAAUUGUGAUUGUCAUCGAAUCGUAUUUCAUAGCGCUUUCAUGUAUGAUCAAACCCUGGGCAAACCUCAAUACGCAAGUUCCGAGUUACCCAAGAGUUAUUUCCCUUUGUUGAACUCUUUCGCAUUUUAUGACGUAUGGUGGGUACACAAUGUAUACAUUAUAUCGUAGACUGGCAUUGUACAUAACGAUUAUGUACGAUUAAUGUAAUAAAAGCGUAACUUUUGUUUAUAUCAAUCACUGGUAUGCAUAUUCUGGCCAUAUCAAGCAUAAUUUGUUUGAAUAAGAUCAUCAAAUUGCCUAUUGAAUCAUUAUUCAUUUCCUCUUCUACAUGAGUGACGCUUUUAUCAAAGAACGAUGGCAAUUAACAAUAUUUGUUUGAGCCAUUUUGUUAUCCAAUACUCAUAAACUCACUAAAGUUGCCUUUUCCCUGAGAUAGGAUGGUCUCAGAAAUUCUGGAUAUCAUCUUUUAAGAAAUAAUACAACGAUAGUAAUUAGCAAAUGUACCCACUGUCUAUGAUAUCAUAUUUUACGUCAUAAUUUACGGAAGAGUUCGACAAAGGGAAAUAACUUUUUGGGAACUCGGAACUUCCGUAUUCAUAUGAAUAGAUAAUUUGUAUUUAUAUUAUACUACAUGUAUCACAAGUAUGCAUUACUUUGGGAGUGUUAAGCGUAUUUAGAUUCGCUAAUGCGUAAUUGUACGCAUAACUUUCAACUUAAUUGCGUAUCUGGUCAAAUUAAAUGAGUAUUUACGCUGAUACGCACCUUAUCUGGAGCUCUGUCUAAUACAAUGAAAUAAUAUUUAUUAUUCUGCAUAAUGUAGAAGAACAUAAAUUAAGAAAAGUAUUGGAAAAUGUUUAAUUUUCUCUCGUUAUAAAUUCAAAGACUGUUCUUAUUUUACUUUACUUUUUCAGUUGAGACAAGUAUUGCAUGCAAUAGUUGUUUAUUAUCUAAAAAUAACUCGUUGACAAAUGUCAGUGUUCAUGGGUGACAUGUAAAACCAAAAUACCUCUGUACUGUAAGACCUGCAGUAUCAUGGGAUGGGAAUAAAACACCAAAACACAAGGUGUAUUUUGCCUUUGACAAUUUGUUGAUGAAGGGCCUGGGGAUAGCGAAUAUGUUGGUAAAAUGGUUAGGAAAAUCCAGGCCGGCCGGGGCAAUUGAAAUCCCGAGUGCAAUUGCAGUAUUGUAUAAAUUGCGCUUUAAACUUCCUUUAAUAUCUUUAUUUUCUGUGCAUUGUUUUCUUUCAGACAUGAAUUUACUUUGAACUUCUGUUUCAGUUUAUUAUUGUGAAUCAAUAGAAGUAAUUAAUACAUCAUUUGUACAAUGUCCCUGUAUGCAAACAUUUUUAGAAAUCAGAGAUUCUCAAAGAUGGAAACAAGAAAACGGAAAACGAUGAAAGACACACCCACAUUGGGUGUUCAUGAUGUUGUGCUUUGUCCGAUUAUAAUGGGGUCUUGGACAACACUGUGGUGGCCAGGAUUUAUUAGUAAAAAGGAAAGUGCUAAAGUUGAAGUAUCGUUUUGGGAUGAGGAUUCUGUAAAAACUUACUAAAAGACCAGAACUUGAGAAAUAUAAAAGAGACCUUGAAAUUGCUGAUAGAUCAAAGAGCAUUAAUUUGUCUACAGGGAAUCCAGCGAAACAAGAAAAACUAGGCCCUAAGGAAGAUGUACCAGGACUUAGUGAGGAUAUGAUGUCUGAACUCAAUUUAAACACAGCAAUUUCCUCAAGUCGCUUCCCACUGUACUGUCCUAUUGUUCCAUUAUCAAAUGCAGUAAGCAGCCUGCCCAUUCUUGCUAUCUGGAGAGUCUCUUGUGGAAGACGAUAGAACGACCGAUGUACUUCAAUGUCAUGCCCAAGAAAAUUUGCCAUAUUUUCUAAAUCAGACUUGGAAGAAGAACUGGAACUGUUCGGCCUCUUUUGCCUCUUAUCUCUAUCCGCUGGAACAUGGAGCACAUCAUUUUUUCCACUGGUGAUAGAGAUUCCUCAAUAUCUUUCAGUGAAUCUCGUAAAGAGCAUUUGGAUUUAGAAUCUAAAUAACAUUUCACCGUGAUUCUCUCCGUUUCCCCACCUCUUCUUCUGUUAAAUAGUACGACACUUGCCAGUGUCACUUGAUUGAGUUCAUCCCAUUUUGAUUUUGCAAACUGCUUUUCUAGUUCUUUAACUAAACUAGUCAAUUUUCCUUUCAAGAAGCUCUGAAGUUUCUUGAUGUCUUCCGUCAAAGGUAAAAUGUUUCCUUUCUCUUUUUUCUUAGUGCUCAGCGUUUCCAAUGCUGCAUUCGAUAUGUCUUCAUUCCAUUCACUUUCACACAAAGAAUGAAAAUCAUGGGCAUCUUGUACAGCUGAUCUAUCCCCAGAAACUAAGGAAAUAGCUUUCUUUACAGUGCAGCAUUUUUUAAGCAGAUGGCCUAAUUUCAAUGCCAAGGAAGGGUUACUGUACUUGUUUUCAUUUUCCUUGUAGCCACAAAGGGCACGAGUGGCUUUAAUUGCAACAGGAAAUUUCCUGGGAAUGAGGAGUUCUGACAUAUUAUUUGUCUCCGAGUCUAUCUUUCUGACUGUAACAAGGAAUCUCCCUAAUUCUCUCAUUUUCUGACUGAUAUGGACAUAGAGAUGAGGUAAAUGUCCAUGUUUUUGGUAUAGUUUUUCACCUAUCCGAAUGAUCAUGGGGUCAUUCCUGGCAGCCAUUGUAAAAAUCUGAUGGUGAGAAAGAAGAUGAUGAAACACAGUCUCAGGAUGGUGGAACACAGUCUCGGAAUGGUGGAACACCGUCUCGGAAUGGUGGAACACAGUCUCUUGAAGAUACUAGUGUUACAGUAAGUGCUGACAAGGGACAUCGAGGAGGCAAAUUUUCUUGCAAACAGAAGAAUGAUAAGAGAGAAAAGGUCUACCUUUCUCAGCAGGAGAAAUCGUUACUUAGACAAUUUUUCACGACAAACAUAGUGCAAAAAAAAAGAAUUGAAGAAGACCGACUGUGAAAAGUUUAUUGAAAAGAACCCAAAUCUGCCAAGACUAGGAUGGAGGAAAAUUAAAAACACGAUUCAUAAUUGGAUAACCGAAGAAAAAAAGAAGAUCGAAAGUUUGUUGAAAAAAAGUAGAUUUUCUGUUUUCAUCAACAUGAUCGAUUUCUGAACAUGAUGGUCAAAUGUUGACUAAGCCACUCAAAUGACUUAAUUACAAUUUACAGUUUUUAUACACCUAUCUUUAGACAUAUUAUGGUACAGCAAUAUCUGUCCGUCUGUUAGUGGUUUUCUGUUUCUAAUUUCAUUUCUUUGUCAUGUAUCAAGCUGAAACUUGCUAUGUAGCUUCGUUGUGGAUCAUUCUAUAUCGUACUGCAAUUUUGAUCCAUUUUGACUUCUCGUGCAUUUUUACCUCUCCCCUGGGGGCAGGGCAAAAACUUCCCAAAAUUGACCAAUUUUUAAAAAUCUUCUCUACAACCGCACAUGUGUAAGAAAAACUAAAUGCCUAGUGAUGUAGAGCAGGAAAGCCUCCACCAAAAUUGUAAAUUUCAUGAUCCCCGGGGUAGGGGUUUUGACCUGUGAGUGGGGUCAAACUUACUAUAUAGUGUUUAUGUGUAAAACACUUAGAUAACAUCUUCUUUAGUGUUAUUGAUACUAAAUUGAAACGAAAUGGAUAUUUAGAAAGAGGAGGUAGUCCUUUACCAUAAUUGUAAAUUUGAUGAUCUCCGGGAUAGGGGUUCUGACCCCAGGGUGGGACCAAACUUAGUAUACAGUAUUUAUCUGUAAGUUUGCUGAUGAUGUAUAAAAUCUAAAUGCAUACUUAGGAAUAGCAGAAAAGGAUGUACAAAAAAUGGUAAUUUUACACAUCUUGUUUUAUACUGUUGCUGAACAUUAGAAUUUAGCUUAGAUAUUCAGAACAGGAAUUUUGUUUUCUAGAUUCCACAGCCCUUGGGAGUAGUGAUACUUUUUUUCUAGUAUUCAGGUGACCUAUAAGGCCUGUAGGCCUCUUGUUGAAAAAAUUACAGGAUAUUGAACUUAGUCACCUUCAAGGAAUUAUUGCAUAGAGAGUACAUGAUUUGUCUUUUAUUUUUCCUUCUACAGUUAAGUUUUUAAGUGAGGACCUUAUUUUACAGAGUAUUUGUAUGGGUAUGGAAGAUGUGCAUGUGUCAAGGAUUUUGAUUUUCUUCAUUUUUAAAGAAAAUUUCAUGUUGAACUUAGUCCAUUUUGAGAAAAUAUUAUAUUAGAUAAAGGACAUGGUUUGUCCUUAUAAAUCCUCUCACAGUUUAGAAGCUAUGGUAUUUGUAAAUAAGUUGAAGAUGUGCAUAGUGCAAGAAAUUUGAUUCACAACAAAUUUUAAUUAUCUUUGACGUUUUGAGUAUUGAGAGGUUGUUGAAGUUGGUCAAAUUUUAGGAAACACAGAACUGUUGGUUUGUCUAUCUGCCUCCAGUCACAGAUACUACCUGAAACAAAUUUCUACAAAUUAUGGCUUAAGAAAAACAUCCUAUGUAAGUAUUUUCUUGGGCAUAUUAUGUACAGUUUGCAGUACUCUUGUUGCUUGAUUUAGCUAACUUUGUUAUCAAGAGAGGAAGAGCCUUAUAAAUUUGGAGAUCAAAAGGUCAAGGUCACUACAGAACUAAAAAUUUACUUAGAAGAAAAAUCUUGUAGACAAUAUAGUGUCAGGCCACAUUUUUUGCCUGAUUGAUUUGGCACUUCAUGUAUAGCGUUGUGAAUCCUAUUGAUUUACAAGUCAAGGUCUUCAUAGAAAAAGUUUAUAGACACAACAGGCUUCAUUUUUCACCCAAUUGAUUUGAUAUUUCAUGUGUAGCUUUGUUAUUGAGAGGGAAAAGGUCAAGGUCACUACUUGACUUCAUAGAAAAAACUUAUGAACAGUUGUUGUGAGGGUUAUGCCCUGCCUUGCUGUCACUGAGCUCUUGUUAACAUUUCAGGCACAUGAGCAUUAGCUUAAAAAUAGGAUGCAUAGUGCACAGGUGAUAGUUCAGACCUAUGAGCCUUGUUUAUUAUUAUGCUGCUUAGUGGAAAUAUGUGGUUUUCUUAUGUUAAUACUUCCUUCAGUUUAUCUGUUUUGUAAAAACAUAGUAACUUGUAUUUUUUUUUAGGUCACCUGAGUCACUCAGGUGAUCUAUUGCUAUUGGUCUGUGUCCGUCGUGUAAAUCACUUAAAUAACAUCUUCUUUAGUGCUAUUGAUAUUAAAUUGAAAUUAAGUGGAUAAUUAGAAAGAGCAGAAACUGUUUGAUGAAGCCAGGGGUAGGGGUUUUGGUAUCAGGAUGGGCACAACAUCGUCAGUUAUUAAAUGUGUGAACAAUGAUUAUUUUUUUUUUUAUUUCUUCUUGAUAACUACUAUUUCAAUUCUUUUCAAAUUUGGUAUGAAGCAUCUUUGGGACAAGGGGGACAUAAACUGUAAAUUUCAGGAUUGGGUUCUACCAAAAUUGAAAAUUUCAUGACCCCCUGGUUAGGGGUUCUGAACCCAGGACAGGGUCAAACUUACUAUAUAUACUACUGUUGUGUAAGUCCCACUAUGAUGUAUUCUGUUAAUUUUACAAAUAAAAUUCUGUGUGUAGUA